rnacentral:lncRNA from 1 species
GUGAAGGCUUCAAUGCAUCACUACCAUCAACUGAUUUCCCAUCUAAUAGCUCAAAUGCCACAUCACAAUCUUCUAUUGGAGAAUCUUUAGUCUCACCAUCUUCUGCAGCUGAGAAAUCGCUCAUCUCAACAUCUUCUGCAGCUGAGAAAUCGCUCAUCUCAACAUCUUCACCAGCACCCAUUUCUUCUUCAUAAUCAAUCUUAGUAGAUUGUAAAGUUAGAAGACAUCAUUUUUAUUGUUGUUUUUGGAGAGGAAAGAGUGGUAAAAUACCUUGUUCC